AGCUUAGCUGCUCCGAGAAGCAUGGUUACAUGAGCAUCAUGACCACAUGCAUGCAUUUUCCCAGGAACUUUGCUCUUGUACUCCCAAUCAACCAGUUCCUGAAGAGGGAGGGCAUCCAUGUCAGCCCUGAGAGAGAACCUCGGGGCCUCGCCGGAGCCGAUAACCGCGACGACGCCGGUCUUGGCGACCGGCCAGGCAUACUCGACCCCGAGGGCAUCGAGCUCCGAUCUGAUCAACUCGCUGGUCUUGUACUCCUGGAAGCUGAGUUCGGGGUGCUGGUGGAUCCUCCUCCUGAUGCUCUUCAGCCAGUCGAAGAACUCCGGCUGCCGCGCCGAUUCGAGAAGAUCCGUCGCCGGGAUUGGGGAUGCUGAUGAGGGGAGAGGGGAGAGGGUGGAGAUGAAGAAGAGACAAAGGCAGAGGAGGCGCGGGAGGGGGGACAGGG
rnacentral:misc_RNA from 1 species